AUUGAACGCUGGCGGCAUGCCUUACACAUGCAAGUCGAACGGCAGCACGGGAGCAAUCCUGGUGGCGAGUGGCAAACGGGUGAGUAAUAUAUCGGAACGUGCCCAGUCGUGGGGGAUAACGCAGCGAAAGCUGUGCUAAUACCGCAUACGAUCUAUGGAUGAAAGCGGGGGAUCGCAAGACCUCGCGCGAUUGGAGCGGCCGAUAUCAGAUUAGCUAGUUGGUGAGGUAAAGGCUCACCAAGGCGACCAUCUGUAGCUGGUCUGAGAGGACGACCGGCCACACUGGAACUUAGACACGGUCCAGACUCCGACGGGAGGCAGCAGUGGGGAAUUUUGGACAAUGGGCGCAAGCCUGAUCCAGCAAUGCCGCGUGCAGGAUGAAGGCCUUCGGGUUGUAAACUGCUUUUGUACGGAACGAAACGAUGAGCUCUAAUACAGUUUGCUAAUGACGGUACCGUAAGAAUAAGCACCGGCUAACUACGUGCCAGCAGCCGCCGUAAGAC
rnacentral:rRNA from 1 species